GGUAUCACGUCGCCGUCGAUUACUGGUCCAAAGGCUAUAUGGUAUCUUGCUGGUUGAAUGUCCUGGUCGACAAGUUCUCUGCUGAAAGCUAACUGCCCAGCUGGAGAGAGCUGUUCCGCUUUGAGCUAUUGCUCUUUGAAAAAGUCCUGUGGGGAGAAAUAUUUGAAAACUACUGAAGCGACCUUGAAACAGCCACAGACUUUGAAAGAUUCAAAGGAGUUCUUUGAAACAAUAGAAAACUUUAACAGAAGAGA